GCCUGGGUGGCUCAGUUGGUUGAGUAUUUGACUCUAGAUUUUUAGUUCAGGUCAUUAUUCCAGGGUCGUGGGAUCAAACCCCACGUCAGGCU
rnacentral:tRNA from 1 species